rnacentral:pre_miRNA from 1 species
UCUUAUGGAUGAGCAAACAAAGUGGUUAUGUGAGAUAGAAUCUACUCUUGGUGAAGAUAUUGUGAA